GACAUUCAGAGCACUGGGCAGAAAUCACAUCGUGUCAACACCCACCGUGGGCCUUCGCGAUGCUUUCUGCCCCUUGCUCUGACUGUCAAUGUGAAGAAAU